CCCUUAGAUGUUCUGGGCCGCACGCGCGCUACACUGACGAUGGCAACGAGUUUUUCCUUCGCCGAAAGGUGUGGGUAAUCUUUUGAAACAUCGUCGUGCUGGGGAUAGAUCAUUGCAAUUUUUGAUCUUGAACGAGGAAUUCCUAGUAAGCGAGAGUCAUCAGCUCGCGUUGAUUACGUCCCUGCCCUUUGUACACACCGCCCGUCGCUACUACCGAUUGAAUGGUUUAGUGAGGACUCCUGAUUGGCGCCGCCGCCCCGGCAACGGAGCAGCGGACUGCCGAAAAGUUGUUCAAACUUGAUCAUUUAGAGGAAGUAAAAGUCGUAACA
rnacentral:rRNA from 1 species